CCAGUAUUUAAAUAUCAAAAACUCAAAAGAAUAAAAUCAUUAAACACAAGUACAUUUGAUGUUUUCGUUCACAUUUUCUUAUUUUGCUUACAUGAAGUGGCUCAUACGUAUUAAAAGGUGACUGGAUAUAAACACAAAUAAUUCAAUUAUUUGUAGGUAACUAUUUAAAAGUGUAUUCUGUAUGGUUUUUUGGAAUUAAUGGUAUCUAGCCAAUUUUAUUCUAUAUACAAGGGGUGGCUUUUAUAGAGUCAACAUUUUUCAAUCGAGGUUUUAAAAAUUAUUCACAUACCUUCUCCCCCCCCAAAAAAAAUCUCAAACAUUACAUAUACAUAUAUUAAAUAUACGUUUGGUUUUAUUUCAUAAAUUUAAUGAUGUAUAUAAAAUAUAAUUAAAUUAAGUUUUAAAUAUUAUUAAUGAACUGUAUAUUUAUUAAAAAUGUUAUUUUAUUUGAGAGUGAUAUCUUUUUCUGUUUUUUUAGUGGAUAGAUUUAAUAUCAAGAAUGUCAGGGGCGUCAUUUCACAUUUCAUCACGCAAAACGAAUAUUGAAAAUUCAAUAGAAGACACUAUCAACAAAGUCCUCGACCUAGCUAAAUGGGCGAAUCAUUGGCCAUCACGAUAAUAGGAGCUAUGCGUGUUCGUGGCCCUUGACGUCAAGGGCUACAAGCAUGGGUAAAACCAGGUUACGAAAAGAAAUGCUCUCCUAGGAUAGCAAGGGGAUGUUGAUGGACGACUGUUCCACAUCGCUUUAAGAUUGAGUUUUAUAACUUAGGAUUAUUUAGCCUUCUUCCAAGAGGAAGGCGUCGAUUGUACAUACACAAGCUAAUUCAAAAGUUAUUUAAUAAAC